GAGACUGUGCGGUGGCAGCCAUGGCGGACGGUUGCGAUGAGGCUGCUCCUGGGUCUCGCGGCUAUCCAAGACCAUCGAGGGUCCCCGGCGGCGCCUGCCGUCUGCUGAGGCUGGGUGGACUCCUCUGCGGCAGAUCUCCUGUAAGAUGUGCUGGUAAGUGACGCUGCCGGGGGCCCAGCUCCUCGCUCCCAGAACCGGGCGCGCUGGUCACUGUUACUUCAUGGGGGAAAUUCUUACUGAAUCAACUAGUGACUUGGCCUACGGCUCCCAGGGGUUUUCUGAACUGUAAAAUACAUACCGAGAAUAAUAUUCAAGAAAAGGGGAUUUUGUGUAUAGAUGUGAUCAGCGUCUUUGUAAAAGGAAGGAAGUUAGUCCACUGCUACCGCCACAAUUCCGCCUCUGUCUGCCGGUGCCAAAUUGAAACGCAGACACAGAGUUUGGGGUAAAGGAGGGGAAAAAAAAUAGUUUAAUUGCUUUGCCAGGCAAAGGAGGAUCACAGCAGGUUAAUGCCUUAAAGACUGUCCCUUCCCCCCCACCCCAGUUAGAAAGAAUUGGAAGGAGUUUUAUAGCAAAAAGGAGAAAAACAGGUUUUCAGAGAGGAAUCAGUAUUGGGACAAACAUGCAUUCAUCUUUCUUUGGGUCAGUCUUGGUCAUCAAAGCUGGAGUCGGGAGAUUUUCACAGUGGUGGUUUUCUGGGUUAUUGCCUAGAAUAACAGUACUUGCGAAAGGGCCGUAUUGAUCAGAGAUCAGAACAAGCUUGGAAAGUUCCUGAAAAAACAUCCCAUGCUAAUAAUCUUUAACCCACAGGCCAUUGUGCUCAGGAUGCCUAAUCUUUAGCUUACAGGUGAUUGUGUUUAGGGUGUAACUAAGUCAGGAAGAAGAAUAAGCUGUUAAAUUUCAAAGUAUUCAUUUCAAAAAGAAGCGUAAGGAAUAUGAUUUUUCUCUGAGAGGUAUGAUAAGACUGCCUCUCCCAAGGCUGCUUGUCUUCCUCCCUCAAACAGAAAGGAUUGCUGUGUCCUUCUUACUAUCAAGAGUUGUCGGAGUUCCCGUCGUGGCGCAGUGGUUAACGAAUCCGACUAGGAACCAUGAGGUUGCGGGUUCGGUCCCUGCCCUUGCUCAGGGGGUUAACGAUCCGGCGUUGCCAUGAGCUGUGGUGUAGGUUGCAGACGCGGCUCGGAUCCCGCGUUGCUGUGGCUCUGGCGUAGGCCGGUGGCUACAGCUCCCAUUGGACCCCUAGCCUGGGAACCUCCAUAUGCCGCAGGAGCGGCCCAAGAAAUAGCAACAACAACAACAACAAAAAGACAAAAGACAAAAAAAAAAAAAAAAAAGUUGUCUCUGUCCAGGGGCUUCAGGAGGAAACCCAAGUAGGCCUAAUCCAACCCCAUGAUCUCUCCUCUCAGCUUCUGGUCCCGGCUGGUGCUCAGUACAGCUGAAUGCCCAGGGCUUUAGGGGCUUGAAGGAACGUGGGCUGCAAGCCUCCAGCGUGCUUGGGUCUGCGGUGACCCUGUGCAUUCCUACAGUGCUUGCAAGAAAAUUUUGAGAUGGUUUGAGGCCUUGCCCUGCUUCAUCCAGAGCAAGGUUAUAGAAAUUUCAGACACUGUUUUGCUCCCUUCCCUAUCUGGUGUGCUGGGCACUGUGCAGGUCUGUACCAUCUGAGGCGGUGACCACUUGACACAUUCGGUUAAAUUUAAGAUUCCGUCUUUCGUUCACACUAGCCGCGGUUUAGAUGGAUGCUCAUUAGCCACACUUGGCAAGUGGCUGCUCUGUUGCACCUUGCACCGUGCACAUUAGAGAGCGUUAAUGUCUUUGAAGAAAUUGUUUUGGACUUUGGGUGUUUACCGUGCUCCAGGCUUGUAAAUUUUAUUAUAUCCUUCAAACGAAAGCCUUAGAAAAGUUGAAAAUGGGAGUUCCCUUGAUGGCUUAGUGGUUAAUGAACCCGACUAGUAUCCAAGAGGAUGCAGCUUCAAUCCCUGGCCUUGCUCAGAGGAUUAAGGAUCCUGCGUUGCCGUCAGCUGUGUAAGUUGCAGGCAAAGCUUGGAUCUGGCGGGGCUGUGGUGUAGGCCGGCAGCUGCAGCUCCGUUUGGACCCCUAGCCUGGGAACCUCCGUAUGCCUCGGGCAUGGCCCUAGAAAGAUGUAAAGGAAAAGAAAAUGAAGCUUGAGGGAGUGGUAAAGAUGGAGUUAGACCAGCUAGUAGGAAAUAGAGUGGAAAGGAAUAAUAGGGAUGGGCCAUGCCCUGGGGGAUAUUUACCAUUGGCAGGGAAACCAAAGAGAAGGAAGGGCCAGCCAGGUUCUAUAGCAGGGCCGAGUGUCCCCGGAGCUUACUGGGGGGCGGGGGUCGUUGCACAUUGAUCUUAAAGGAAGAUCUAAUAUAGCAGGGGCCGAGUGUCCCCGGAGCUUACGGGGGGGGGGGUCGUUGCGCAUUGAUCUUAAAGGAAGAUCUAGUGGGAGAGAAGGGCACUUGUGUUGAUUGAACUCUUGUCUUGCAGACUUAAUUCUUAACCCGCCAGAAGUCUUCAGGGACCACCGUUAGGCCAUCUUAGGUCCAGUACAGGUGGGGGGGCCACGGUCAGGAUUAAGUGUCCAGGGUUGCCUGUUCAGAAACUGGAAGGUCAGGAUUGGAUGCCAGGCCUCUCCAACCCUACUGGCUCCACUCCUUUCCCGGAUGCCAGAUUGGAAGGGAGGGGUGGAAUCUAGAGGCAAUGGCUGGUUUGAGUCGGAGGGCAAUGCCAGGAUGGAGUAGGCAGCACAGCUCCUGAGCUCCUGGACGGCGGGGUCACACCACCACCCCUUCUCUCUUGAAGGUUAAGGCUUCUGGCAGAUUCGGGUCAGUCCCAAGUGCGACCGGUCUUCUGGGGCUGCCGUCCGCAGACCCUUCUCGCAUCCACGUACCUGGCGGCCUCCCUCAUCGCGUGCUGUUGGUAGGGGGGCGAGUCAGGCCCUGUACACGUCCUGACAGGCACCCGGCCCACCCCCAGCCAACUGUGCGCUGUGUUCCUGCCCCAGCACGAGACCUGUGGGGUGUCCGCGGCAGAAGAUGUCAGAGCUGGAAGAGACCUGAGAGGCGAUCCCCUUGGUGGGUGAUGGUUCUUCCGGGAAUCUGGUGGUUUGCGCGCCUUGUCGUCUGCUUCCAGAACAAGGAUCUUCGCUGUACGCCAAGACCCAGACCCCUCUGACAUCGGAAUGACAAGUGGGAUAUUUAAUAAAACAGUUUCAAAUUU
rnacentral:lncRNA from 1 species